rnacentral:rRNA from 1 species
AACGAACGCUGGCGGCAUGCCUAACACAUGCAAGUCGAACGGGAUCCUGGCUUCGGUCAGGUGAGAGUGGCGGACGGGUGAGUAACGCGUGGGAACCUGCCCAGUGGUGGGGGAUAACUGCGGGAAACUGCAGCUAAUACCGCAUGAGCCCGAGAGGGGAAAGAUUUAUCGCCAUUGGAGGGGCCCGCGUUCGAUUAGGUAGUUGGUGAGGUAACGGCUCACCAAGCCGACGAUCGAUAGCUGGUCUGAGAGGAUGAUCAGCCACACUGGGACUGAGAUACGGCCCAGACUCCUACGGGAGGCAGCAGUGGGGAAUAUUGGACAAUGGGGGGCAACCCUGAUCAGCAAUGCCGCGUGAGU